UACGUAGGGUGCAAGCGUUGUCCGGAAUUAUUGGGCGUAAAGAGCUCGUAGGCGGUUUGUUGCGUCGGCUGUGAAAUCCCGAGGCUCAACCUCGAGACGCCGGCGGAAACCCCCAAGCUAGAGUCCGGAAGAGGAGAGUGGAAUUCCUGGUGUAGCGGUGAAAUGCGCAGAUAUCAGGAAGAACACCCGUGGCGAAGGCGGCUCUCUGGGACGGUACUGACGCUGAGACGCGAAAGCGUGGGGAGCGAACAGG
rnacentral:rRNA from 1 species